rnacentral:tRNA from 1 species
UCUGGCGUGGUCUAGUGGCUAGGGUACCUGGCUUUUAACCAGAAGGCCUGGGUUUGUUCCGAACGUCGGAA